rnacentral:piRNA from 1 species
UCCUUGAUGACCCGGUCCUUUGGGAGGUGU